AUGGACCGGCUGGUGAUCCCGGAGCCGACGAACGAGGUGGUGGUGCGGGUGGAGCCGGGGCGGCCGGCCAAGGGGGAGCUGACGCUGCGCAACGCCAUGCACACCAUGCCCGUCGCCUUCCGCCUGCAGCCGGCCGUGAGGGGCCGCUUCGCCGUGCGCCCGCACACCGGGAUCCUGGCGCCGCUCGCCGCGGUCACCGUCGAGGUGCUCUACAUGGCCUCGGAGGCGCCCGACGGGCCUGGCGGGGGAGGCAGCCGCGGGGAGGACGCCUUCUUGCUGCACAGCGUGGUGGCGCCCGGCGCCUCGGUCAGGGAGCCCGUCUCUGCGCUGGACUCCGUGAACCCUGAGUGGUUCUCCGCGAGGAAGAAGCAGGUGUUCGUGGACAGCGGCAUCCGGGCGUCCUUCGUGGGCGCCGAGGUCGCGGCGCGCCUCGUCGCCACCGGGGCCGUCGAGGCGCUCAGGGAGGUGCUCGACCGCAGCGACCCCGCGUGGCGCGCCGCGGACGCCGAGGACGAGUCCGGGAGCACGCUGCUCGACCUCGCGGUCGGCCUCGGCCGCGCGGACAUCGUCCAGGUGCUCCUCGAGUACGGCGCCGACGCCGACAAGCCCAGCCGCGGGAGGACACCCCUCGAGAUUGCUGCGGCGUCCGGCGAGUGCCUCAUCGCGGAGCUCCUCCUCGCCAACGGAGCCAAGCACGCCGGCUCCGACGCGCUCCACGUGGCCGCCGCGGCCGGACACGACGAUGUCUUGAAGCUGCUUCUCGGAAAGCCCGCGUCUGCUUCUCCCCGCUCAUCCUCCUCCUCCGCUUCCUUCUCCGGUUCCUUCACCUCCAUCGACGCGGCGGGGAGGGAGGGCAAGACACCUCUGCGGCUGGCGGCGGAGGGUGGCCGGCGGGAAGCGGUGAAGGCGCUCCUCGCGGCGGGCGCGAGGGCCGACACGAGGUGCGGCACGGACGGCGGCACCGCCCUCCACGCCGCGGCAAGGCGGGGCGACGAGGCCGUCGCCCGCCUGAUCCUGGCGCACGGCGUGGCCGGCACGGCCUCGGUGCGCGACGCCAAAGGCAAGACGGCCUACGAAACCGCAGCCGAGGAGGGCCACACCGGGCGGAUCAUGGACUUCCUAGGGCUCGGCGAGGCGAUCCUGGCGGCCGCGCGGAAGGGUGAGGCCCGGGCCGUCCGUCGGGCCGCGGACGGCGGCGCGUCCGUGGAAGGGCGGGACGCGCACGGGUGGACACCGCUGAUGCGCGCCGCGUUCAAGGGGCGCGCCGACGCGGUGCGCGACCUCAUCGAGCGGGGCGUCGACGUGGAGGCGUGCGACGCCGAGGGCUACACGGCGCUGCACUGCGCCGCCGAGGCGGGGCGCUCGGACGUGGUGGACAUCCUCCUAAAGGCCGGGGCCAACGCUAGGGCAGCAACGGCGAAGGGGAGGACGGCCGCGGCAUCUGCAGCGGUGACAGGCAAGGCCAAGGUGGUGCGGCUGCUUGAGAAGGCUGGCGGGGUCGGGCGGAAGGGUGCCAGCGAGAAGGCGUCGCCGGCGGUGGCCAAGGGCGGGAGCAUGGACAGGCGGCGGAGGGGGAGGAAGGGGAGCAGCGGCGCCAUACGGUUCGGUGGCGGGAAGGAGGGGUACGAAGCCGCCACGGUCACCGUCGGGUGGUCCCACUAG
rnacentral:rRNA from 1 species